rnacentral:rRNA from 1 species
UACGAGGGGGGCAACUGUUGUUCGGAAUCACUGGGCGUAAAGGGAGCGUAGGCGGGCUGUCAAGUCUGGGGUGAAAUGCCGCGGCUCAACCGUGGAACUGCCUUAGAUACUGACGGCCUCGAGGGAGGUAGGGGCGUGCGGAACUGUAGGUGGAGCGGUGAAAUGCGUUGAUAUCUACAGGAACUCCGGUGGCGAAAGCGGCGCGCUGGACCUCUUCUGACGCUGAGGCGCGAAAGCUAGGGGAGCAAACGGG